UCCCAUAGACACACUGCAGAGGAGGAGGAGUCUUCGAAUCUGCUGCUCGCGCCACAGAGUCGGAGCUUCCAUCCUCGCAGGAGUGCGCAGGAACGCCUCUAUGCGGCUCGCAGAGUCUAGCGGUGUCACUGUCCUUCAGUACUUCAAGUGAGGGCGAGGAAGCAGAAGACUCUGGCUGACAGCUGGAUGGCUCGCUGACCCCUCGGUGUCACUUGCAGGCCCCAGUCUGGUGCUGCUGUGUGUGGUGGCAUCAUUAAGGUGGGUUCUGUAAAAAUGGAAUAAAGUUAAACCCCCACCCAGAAGACAUCACAGAAUAAAAGGGAGGAGAACAGCACAUCUUCUUGGACAUAUGAAAAGACAAUGUAUAAAUCUGUCUUUUCCAGCCUACCAUGACCUACAUAAGCUCCAAAUUCUCUUCAACAUCUUCAUUAACCUGGACAUCGGACUCAGAGGAGUACUAAGUUUGCUGAUUAUCAUAGAUUGGGAGGAGCUGUCACCCUCUUCAAGGGCAGAGAAUCCCUGUAGAGAGACCUCAACAAAUUAGAGAGAUGGACAAUCACCAGCUGUAUGGAGUUUAACAAGGGCAAGUGCCAGAUUCUGCACCUGGCAUGGUGCAACCCUGGUUGGGUGCACAGAGUAGGAAAUGAGAGCAGCACCGUGGAAAGGAAUUGGUUGAUGGCAAGUUGGAUCUGAGUCAGCAGUGCCCUGGCAGCCAGGAGGCCCAAGCGUAUGCUGGAGUGCACCAGACACAGCACCACCAGCUGGGAAAGGGAGGUGAUUGUCCCACUCUGAUCUGCAAUGAGAUGGCUUCAUCUCCAGUCCUGGGGGCAGUUUUGGGCACCAAAAUACAGAAAGGAUGUCAAGCUAUUGGACAGCAUCCAAAGCAGGACAUGAGGAUGAUGAAGGACCUUGAGGAGGAGCCAUACGAGGAGCAGCUGAGGUCACUUGGUUUGUUCUGCCUUGAGAAGACUAAGGUGAAACUUCAUCACAGUCUGCAAAUUUCUUGUGAGGACAAGAGGGACAGGUGUCAUUAAAAUCUGGGAAAUAAACUCUCCAACCAAUUCAUUAGGUUAGAAAGUUGAUAUUACUUUAUUAGUAGUGCCUGAUGCAUGGGAAAUUCUUCCCAAAGCAUGUGUGCUCAGUAACGUUACAGACUAGGUUAUAUUACUGAAACUAAUAAAUAUUUGUCACAUUUUUGAAUACAUGGAUAUAUGCAAAUUAUUUCCAUGGAUUUGUUUGGGUAUGGUUCUGGAUCUUCUGAUGAAUCUUUUCUCCUUGAGAGCACCUCAAUUAUGUCAAGUCAUACUUCCUUUAUCACUCUUUGCUCUGACACACAAUCCUUGUUCUCAAAACUAAGAUAUCAGCUAAUAUAUAUUAAUCACUGAUAGAAGUAAACAAGGAAGCAUUAGCUGGAAGAUGACUUAUUAGUCACAGAUAUAGGGAGUUACCACAGGGCUGUGCUCUGGCAUUUGUUCUAACCACUGGAGGGUACAAAACUGAGAAUUAACCACAAAUAUAGGGAUCAUUUAUAUCAAAUAUAGGGAUCAGGACCUGCCAAAUUUAAAAGAAUUUUCCAACAUUUUCCUCCACUGCUGCAUUGACUUUUUACAGAGGUAUUGUAGUAGUGGGUAUCAAAGACACACAGACCUCCUUGCUUGUCCUGAAGAAGAUAGUUUAUUGUAACAAGCGGAACCCCUUUGUAUUCUAAACUUAACCCAAAGCAAACAUUCAUUUGGCUGCCUGCCACUGCAGUCCUGCUGUUCAUGCACACCCAACCAGCUCUCUGACCAAGUGCUAUCUGUGCACCUCCUCUACCAAUACCUGCCUCCUGCAUGAGGAGCACACUCCAGCCAUGCAACCUGAUCUCUGGGUACAGGCUGCUUUGUACCUCGCUGGUAGCUGAAACAUUCCCAGAGUGCUUUCUCUUGAGCUAGAGCCAACAGGAUUUCUCAUCUCCCACAAAGUGUAACCUGUUCUGUAAUACAAGCACUGAUCUCUUCUCUGUGGUGACCAGUAACAGGACUCAAGGAAAUGGUCUGAAGCUGUGACAAGGGAGCUUAGGCUGGAUGUCAGGAAAACGUUUUUCACCCAGAGAGGCUUUGGGCACUGGAACAGGAUACCCAGGGAAGUGCUUGCAGCACCAAGUCUGACAGAGUUCAAGCAGUGUUUAGACAAUGCUCCCAGGCCUGUGGUGUAACUCUUGGAGUGUUCUGUGCAGGCCCAGGAGUUGGACUUGGUGAUCCUGAUGGGUCUCUUCCAACUCAACUGAUUUUGUGGUUCUAUGGUUCUGCCUCAAAUCACAGAAAACUGAGAAAAGCCAACAUUUUCAAAAAUCUUCUUCUUCCACACCUGAGUCCAGGCUUUUCAAUGAUGGCUAGUAGCAUUUUAAUUGUUAGUGAUGUGUGGAAGCACAUUGUAAUGCCAGAACAAACUCUGGAAUUGUAAGACAGUGCUAGAAAACAUGACACUGGUAUUGCUGUAUGAAAAUGUUCUCCCUCCUGCUGAGCAGGACUCCAGAGUCCUGCUAAAAAAGAAAAAAAAAUUGAGUGAAAUACAACCAUCUCUGUAGCACAAGCUCUGCACAGCACUGAACUGUGCUAUAGGAACAUGUGUGAUGGACUUCCCAGAUGUCUUGUAAAAAUGUAUGUAUCAGUAAGAUGGUGCUGCACUGUAUAGUAUCAAGAUGCCUUGGUCAGACUUUCGAAGUUUCUGGGAAGCUGCCAGCACUUGCAAGCAACUGCUGAGAGCCUCUGGAAACCUUUCCUUUCCAUUUAAGAGCUUAAAAGCUGCCUCUGAAUGCAUUAACUACAGAUAUUAGGAUUAACAUGUUCACUUCAGCAACUGUUACCUCAUCCAUGACAAUUAUGUGUGAAAGGGAAGCUAGGUUUCUAGAGAAGAAACAUUGCUUUUUGUUAUAACUACUUGUGCAGUGUGGUAAAAGAAGAUUUCAGGAUCCUAAUCUUUCAAUCAGUAAUACAAAUGCUAAAGCAAGUAGAAGGUGACCAACUACAAAACUGUGUUUGAUUUAAAAUACAUGGUUUACAUAUUAAAAAGAAAAUUCUUUUUAUGCAUCCUUCAGAAAGUAGGAGUAUACACAGAGAGGGGGAAAAAACAAGGGAGAAAAAUAAACAACAAAUCUUUUACCAAAGACAUAUUUUCUGAGAAAUGAACAAAAAUUACAGUCUUCAGACAUCUAAGCGGUCCCAUGGUUUUAUUCUUAGCUUCCUUAGGAGAUGUAGAAAAUACUAGACAAAAAUUUCUUGAUCAGUGGAUACUACCAAUAGUAAAUUGCAUCACUGGUAUAAGUCAGAAGUUCUGUUUACUCUUCUUACACUUCAAUCACAGCUCCUUUACAUCAGCUUAAUAUACUGUUUACUAAAAAAACACCAAUUGGUUAUGGGCACUAUUAGUGAAAGGAUAAGCAUAAUAAAAAGAGAUCUGGUGAGAGAAGAUACAUGCCCACCUUCAUCUUGUUAUUCCAUACGGUGUCAGAAUGGAAAUGGGUCCAUCCUCUGUUACCGUAGAUAUUAACACUGAUAGACCAGUCUUUGUAGGAGAGGAAAAUGGCAGUGGGGUAGUCUUUAGGCAUUUUUCAUUGUCAUUAUGUUUUAUUGUACCCAAAGCAGCACCAGCAAGAAUCUUAAUAAAAGAUGAAAACUGAGUGGCAGCAAGUUUAUUAAGAAAGAAAGAAACAAGGGUAGACUUUCAACACUUGCUGCUUAACAGACUGAGGAAAUGUAUUCGAGGGGGAGGGGGGGAGGCAUGUAUUUUAAGCAACUUCCAGCACUUCAUGCAUUAUUUAGCUCAUUCUCCUGUGUAACUUACACAGAGGUUAUUUGUACUCAUCAACAGACUGUAUUUGCUGGUGCUCAAGGGAUCAUUUCCUCCAUUUUGGUGGUACAUUUUCAGUUUUAAGUUACAGUUUGGAUUUUUUUAAUCAGAAUGGCAUGUAAUGACUUUGGACAACAUAUUGUAGCAGCAUAGGGAAACUAAAACUAGUAAUCAUGCCAAUCAAUAAACUUGAUUUCCAAAUAUCAUGUCUGAUGGUAUGUCAUCAGCUUACUGCCAUCUUGUUUCUAAGAUUACAGAUUGUUUAUUCUAACCAAAUAGGUGGCUAGUAGAGCAUUUUUAUGUCCCUUCAGCAAGCAUAUGUUUAAAAAAAAUCUUUACUGGAAGCUUGUUGAAAAUGAGUCUACCUGGUGGCAAACUAUAUUGUGACAUACAAUUAUAAAGAGCUCAGCAAUAUAAUUUUCACACAGAUCAAUACUUUUAGAUUCCCAUUGCAAUUCACUCUUUGUGUUUGCUGAUAGAAAUGAAAUUUUCAUGUUGAAUUAGCUGAGCUAGGGUGGAAUAGCUCAUGUCAAGCUUUAGACAAAGAAUGAAAACUAUCAGAAUUUUUAGAAAAUAUUUCCAAAGUACUAUAAAAACACACAACAAUACCUUGUAGGACUAAAAUGUUGUCAUUUUUGUAAGCAAAUGCUUUGAGAUAUGUUACCUUUUCUUAAAUAAUGUUUCUGGUUAUACAAGAUACCUUCUGGUGAAAAUAUUCACUCAGCUCAACAGGCCUUUCUCUCUGAUGUGAUCCCUCUGUUCUUAUCUCUACUUCCCUGAAAUAAAAGGUUAGCUUUCAAAAAUUAAGCACAUAGGAAGGUUUUUGUGUGAAAGCAUUCCUGGUACAAAGUAUCAUUUUAAAAAAUGUUUUACAAUCUUGUUUACUUCUAUAUUAUGUUCAGUCUGAGCUGAACAUAAUCUUGGAGCUAGAGGAACCAUCUGGGAGUAUAUUCUGAUUUCCCUAUUUGGCUUCAUAACUUGUAGCUUGGAGGUGCCAUUAAAAGUUUGUUCUAACUGCUGUGACAAAGUUGUAUCUGAAAUAGAUAAGUUUUUUAUGUUGAAGUAAUGGCAACCACAGGGUAACUGUACUAGAACACUCAGCAAACACUCCUUUGAAAUUACUUCCACACCAUGUGUCUGGUUAACAAAUAUGAUAUGUGCAUUAAUAUGUAUAUAGAAGCUGUCUCAUUUUCUGUGACUCUUCACAUGAUCAUCCUCCUUUUUCAUUUGGAUUAAUUGAAUACUAAUUUUCAACCUGUUUCAUAUAAAUUUACAAUGCAGAGGUAUUUGAGAAUAAAAAAGAGCUUUCUCUUGAAAAUUAACCUGAAAAAAUAUGUUUGACAUUCAACAAGGGAAAUUUAAAUUUGAAGCACAAUGGACUGGGCUAAAAAAAAAGAAAUUAUUGUAACCUAGGACAAUUAUUUUCCUAAAAUUAGUUCUGGAUGUCUGAAGAAAACUCAACAAGGAGAAGAAAAAUAAUUCUUGUUGCAAAUCCUUAUGCUGCAUGUAAGAAUGUUCCAGUUCAAAGUUUAUGAGAGAGAAGUCCAAUACAUGUUUAGCAUAGUUUUUUGCACUGAGAAACUCUACUUCAAAAGCAAGACAGGGUCGUUGAAGUCAUUACCUUCCAAUCAACAGUAAUUGCACAUAACUUUAUUUGGUGUAAUUAAUCUCUCUUUCAAAAAAUUAAAAUUAUUGCAAUUCCUACUCUUAAGUGAAAUGUAUAGCCUUUGAAUUUCAAAAGUGAAAAACUAAAGUACUGUUGUACGUAUGAUAUGCUGUAAAACAUGUUGGUAAAAUGAAGAGCAAUUAUUAGACAACUAAUCAACAAUUAUUCUGCAAAAUUCUUUUUUGCUCUCCCUCACUGUGUUCUGGAGUUUUAAGGCACAUUUCUUGUUACAUCACCAGAUUUUCAAAUAAUCACUAAAGGAUAUUUUAUAUAUCUGAAUUUUUAAACUAGCUUAUCUGUGAAUGGUCAUUUCAUUAUCUUUCAUUUCAUUUAGGGCCUGAAAGUGUUUCAUGGUUUAUUCACAACUGGCAAUUAAGCCCCACACGGGCUUGUAUCUUGGUUUGGAAAGAGAGAUGUCUGCUUGGGAGGGCAGGAGCUUCCCUGGGAAUGGAGAAUGCAAAUCCUCUCCUCCGAAUUAUUAUAAUUUUGAAAUUAAGGGGCUCUCAGGCAAAGGUAUGGGGAUAGGAAUAGCAGUUCUUUACUUGUAUGUAUAACAAGGCAAACAAACAACAACAACCACGGCAUUAACAACAAAACAGAACCAGGAACCUCGUGACGGCCUUCUCGGCCCAGACGGGAAGGGAUGGAGGAGAGGCUUUGCUCCACAAAUCCCCGGGGCACUCUGAUCCCCGUGCCCCGCAGGACUCGGGAGCACCGAGCUGGAAGGGCAGGGAUGAGCAGAGAUCCCGGGUGGUGUCUGGGAUGCCCCAGAGGCCCCGCGGUGGCAGCUGGAGCUGCGGGCUGUCCCUGCAGGGCAGGAGGUGCGGGGCUGCAGCGCAGCAAAGGCCGGGGCGGGCCCGCAGGAGCGGCGGGGCUGGGACAGCGGCGGCCCGGCUGCAGCGGGCAGGGAAAGGCGAGCUCGGCACUGCUCAGGAUUCCCGGGCACACGAGCGGGUGGGGCUGGGUCCCUAGGACUGGGCUCCGGUGGUGACACUGAAUUGUCCCCGCAGUGAGCCACAGCCUGGCCGAGCUCUUUCCUGUAAUAAAUACUGUCUAAUAAUUUGUGUUUUGGUGUAUAUAAAAUGUAAAUAUGUUUUGUAAAAUGAAAUGCACAAGCAGGUCGGACAUGAAACCGACUAAUUUCAGGACAGGCAACACCCAGAGGCUGCAAUUCCAGGAAAGACCAUACCCCUGCCGGGAAAUCAGGAAGCCCACUCUUAACACCAGAAUAAAGGGUAAAUCAAGAUUGGAAUCAGUCCUCCGGGGGCGGUGGAACUGUGAAGUGCCCAGCCUUCGCGGGAGAUACGCAUCAGGAGAACGCCUCCCAUUCAGGACUUCACCUCCCAUUCAUACACCGGAGGAAUGAACUUAACAUUCAUCUUUCCGCGGGGAACCCCAUUCAGCAGACCAGACGGGAGAAAUGAGUAUGAAGAAACCAACGCAAAGACAAAGAACUGUGGGGAAAUCAUCUGCUGCCAGCCAAAUAAACUGUAUAAAAAGGGGACCCCGAAAAAGCCCAAUUCAUGAACGACGGGGGUUACAGUGCGAUAGAGGCCAACACUGAGGUUCACCCAGUGUCGAUCCCGGGCAUCGGCACUGUGCUUCCGA